rnacentral:lncRNA from 1 species
UUACAGGUUCUGCAACCUGGGAGAGGUGCCCUGCCAGAACCAAUCUACUCAUUGGCUUCUGAGUUCCUGGCUGGUGUGAACUGUGGAAAGCUUCCACUCACCUUCAAGGUGAGCCAGGUGUGACUAAUCCAGUGGCUGCACCUGUGAUUAUCUGACAUGACCCAAGAAGACUCAGUGUAGCAGGUUUGUAGCUUCUCGUUAACGAGGAGUCUGUGUGUCUGUGUGCACUGAGGACGGCUUUCUCCUUCCCUUGUCUCUCCCCGAGGAAAUACGUUUUUAAAAAGAAAACAAAGCUAUCAUCUGUAGGCAGAGCAGCAGUCAACGAAACAGCCUUGUGCAGGUCCUUGCUGAGUGACUGAGAAGGUGUCUCCCCCCGCCACCACCAUCCUGAGUGAGAGCAGCUAUCAGGUCACCACAAGUUCAUUGAAGUUGAUUUUACCUUGGGUGUGGGGCUUGUUUGGAGUGAUUGUGCAUGGAGCAAAGAAGCCCUCCUGGAGACAUCCGGUCUUCCGCUGUCCUCAUAGCCACAGUGUUAUCAGAGAGGUCAGAAAGUAUCCAAACAAGGAGGCUGUGGGAAGACAAUCUGAUCGGCUUCUGGAGAACAGCCUGGCUCGGUUCCCCACUCCACGCUACUAGACGGGAAGGAAAGAACCUGCCAUUCAAAACCAGAACAGCCUGUUCCCUGUGUGCUCACUCAUUCACAGAGCA